rnacentral:rRNA from 1 species
GACGAACGCUGGCGGCGUGCUUAACACAUGCAAGUCGAGCGGUAAGGCCCUUUCGGGGGUACACGAGCGGCGAACGGGUGAGUAACACGUGGGUGACCUGCCCUCAGCUCUGGGAUAAGCCCGGGAAACUGGGUCUAAUACCGGAUAUGACCCUAUGGCGCAUGUUGUGGGGUGGGAAAGCCUUGUGCGGCUAGGGAUGGGCCCGCGGCCUAUCAGCUUGUUGGUGGGGUGAUGGCCUACCAAGGCGACGACGGGUAGCCGGCCUGAGAGGGCGACCGGCCACACUGGGACUGAGACACGGCCCAGACCCCUACGGGAGGCAGCAGUGGGGAAUCUUGCGCAAUGGGCGAAAGCCUGACGCAGCGACGCCGCGUGA